CAGGCCCCGCUGGCCCCCCUCAGCCGCUGGGCACCGCCAGCGCGGCCUGCCCCUCAGCACCAGCAGCCCCGGAGCUCUGGCUGCUCCCACGCGGGAGGGUAAGCUCCGCCGGCACCCCGCUGCCGAGGGAGACGUACUUCGGCUUUACCAGAGGCAGAGCGAAAGUGCAGAGAGUUCAGGUAAUUUCAAGAUGCUCGAUUUGGACCGCAUCCUAUUCUUCUUCCCAGCACAGAGUCUGCAAGGAAAGCCAGGAGACCGCACCCUGGUUAGAGCCGGCAGACAGAGGAGAGCCGUACAGAUCACCCUCUCCAAGGGGCUGCUCAGAAUGGCUUUUUCCCUACAGGUAAAUUUCCUUCACCAGUAAACUUGUCUGUCCCAUGAAUAGCAUCAAAGGAACGCUGUGCUGUUUGAAGAGAGCCACUGAGCAUAUGUAAUGGAAAAAGAAAACAGACAUCACUUAAAGAAAGGCCAGGCAGUGUGAGCAAAUCAGAGUUGGAAAAAAUGAAGGUCUCCCUAGAUGUCUUGAUGUUUUUGUACAACUGCCUUCAAGGACACCAAGACACAGAUAUGCCGUAUCCUACAACAUCAAGGAUCAUAGAAGAUGCUGUGAUCUCUCCCUCAAUGUAUCCUACUUGCUGUUAAAUGGCUCCAGUACAUGACAACUUUUUUCAAACUGUUGGUUCAGCAGGUUGGAGGAAGCUGUCUUCUGGCAGAGAAAGACAAAUGCCAGUACAGGCCUGAUGAAGUGGUGGUGUGCCUGCAAGCUUGUCUCAUUUUUUCCCCCCAUACCAGCUGGUCUAAUAAAUUACCUCUUCCUAACAA